CCGAGUUUACAAACUCCCAACCCUAUGUGAACCUGCCUAUCGUUGCUUCGGCGGGCUUUAGCCCCCGCGCCGCUCGCCGGCGCCGGGAAACAGGCGCCCGCCGGAGACCCAAACUCAAUGUUUUUCAUGCAGUAUUAUCUGAGUGGCAAACGCAAAAAUAAAUCA
rnacentral:misc_RNA from 1 species